rnacentral:rRNA from 15 species
GCUUACGGCCAUACACCCUGUAACGGACGUCCCGAAUCUACGUCCGAUCUCGGAAGCUAAGCAGGUCGGGCCUGGUUAGUACUUGGAUGGGAGACCGCCUGGGAUACCAGGUGCUGUAAGCC